rnacentral:rRNA from 1 species
GACGAACGCUGGCGGCGUGCUUAACACAUGCAAGUCGAACGGAAAGGCCCUGCUUUUGUGGGGUGCUCGAGUGGCGAACGGGUGAGUAACACGUGAGUAACCUGCCCUUGACUUUGGGAUAACUUCAGGAAACUGGGGCUAAUACCGGAUAGGAGCUCCUGCUGCAUGGUGGGGGUUGGAAAGUUUCGGCGGUUGGGGAUGGACUCGCGGCUUAUCAGCUUGUUGGUGGGGUAGUGGCUUACCAAGGCUUUGACGGGUAGCCGGCCUGAGAGGGUGACCGGCCACAUUGGGACUGAGAUACGGCCCAGACUCCUACGGGAGGCAGCAGUGGGGAAUAUUGCACAAUGGGCGGAAGCCUGAUGCAGCAACGCCGCGUGCGGGAUGACGGCCUUCGGGUUGUAAACCGCUUUCGCCUGUGACGAAGCGUGAGGGACGGUAAUUGGUAAAGAAGCACCGGCUAACUACGU